rnacentral:rRNA from 1 species
GAUGAACGCUGGCGGCGUGCCUAAUACAUGCAAGUCGAGCGAACAGACGAGGAGCUUGCUCCUCUGACGUUAGCGGCGGACGGGUGAGUAACACGUGGAUAACCUACCUAUAAGACUGGGAUAACUUCGGGAAACCGGAGCUAAUACCGGAUAAUAUAUUGAACCGCAUGGUUCAAUAGUGAAAGACGGUUUUGCUGUCACUUAUAGAUGGAUCCGCGCCGCCUUAGCUAGUUGGUAAGGGAACGGCUUACCAAGGCAACGAUGCGUAGCCGACCUCGGGGGGUGAUCGUCCACACUGGCACUGAGACUCGGUCCCGACCCCGACGGGUGGCAGCAGUAGGGAAUCUGCCGCAAAGGGCGAAAGCCUGACGGUGCAACGCCGCGUGAGUGAUGAAGGUCUUCGGAUCCUAAAUGUCUGCUACUAGGGAAGAACAAAUGUGUAAGUAACUAUGCACGUCUUGACGGUACCUAAUCAGAAAGCCACGGCUAACUACGUG